UGAGAUAUCUUUAAUUUGACACAGCUUGAGAAAUAAUUUGCUUGUGGCAAGUAUAGGCUUGUAGAGAACACUGAGAUAAUUAAGGUACUUGUAGUAAGUAAGAGUACUCUUUCUUUGAGGAGAAAAUAACAAAAUAAAGCCAAAGAAAAUGGCCUCAGCAUCUCUGUUAAAGUCAUCUCUUGUUGACAAGUCUGAAUUCGUUCAGGGGCAAAGUCUCAACUUCUUCCUGUGCUGAUGAGCUCGUUAAAACCGCUGUAAGUUUCAUUGCGCUAUUAAUAAUGAGUUUAACUUUUGUACACUGACAUGACAAUGUUGCCAAGUUAAUGUGCCUCACCACAUAACGUGUAACCGUCAAUAGUAAUUCUAAUUUGGUUAUCUAAAGAUGUUGUUAAUAAGACCUAAAAAACAUUGAUGAUGUAGUAGUUUUCACAUUGUUAAUGAAUAGUCCCUCUGUCUAAAAUGAACUGCCGUGAUUCUCUUUUACACGUCCUUAAGAAAUAUUAAUUAGGAGUUUUUUGUUUUGUUAACUGAAAAAUCAUAAGAUUAUACCAUAAGUUAGGUAUUUGUAGUCAUCAAGAACAAUAAAGUCGAGCAAGACGUGGACUAAUGUAAUAUAUAUUCCUAAUUGACAACUGUGUGUGGUAAUGUACAGAAAACAAUUGCAUCACC
rnacentral:lncRNA from 1 species